UACGUAGGGUGCGAGCGUUGUCCGGAAUUAUUGGGCGUAAAGAGCUUGUAGGCGGUCUGUCGCGUCUGCUGUGAAAAUCCGGGGCUCAACCCCGGACUUGCAGUGGGUACGGGCAGACUAGAGUGUGGUAGGGGAGACUGGAAUUCCAGGUGUAGCGGUGAAAUGCGUAGAUAUCUGGAGGAAUACCGGUGGCGAAGGCGGCAUCCUGGACCGGCAUUGACGCUGAGGUGCGAAAGCGUGGGGAGCAAACAGG
rnacentral:rRNA from 1 species